rnacentral:rRNA from 1 species
UACGGGGGGGGCAAGCGUUGUUCGGAAUUACUGGGCGUAAAGGGCUCGUAGGCGGCCAGCUAAGUCAGACGUGAAAUCCCUCGGCUUAACCGGGGAACUGCGUCUGAUACUGGAUGGCUGGAGUUUGGGAGAGGGAUGCGGAAUUCCAGGUGUAGCGGUGAAAUGCGUAGAUAUCUGGAGGAACACCGGUGGCGAAGGCGGCAUCCUGGACCGGCAUUGACGCUGAGGCGCGAAAGCCAGGGGAGCAAACGGG